CCCCAAUGUAUACAUCCCUAUGUUUCCUAUCUCUCUGUGCCAGUUCGUCUUGUUUGCCAAGUCAACCAGCGUUUUUCCUUGCUCCUACUUUUCCCAGUCUCUGUUUGUUUCUAGUCCUCCUGGUUUCGACCCUUGCCUGUCCUGACUCUGAACCCGCCUGCCUGACCACUCUGCCUGUUUCUGACCCCUGCCUGGCUUGACCUCGACUGCCUAUUGCCUGGUACUGUUUGGAUUCUGACCUGGUUUAUGAACUCUCGCCUGUCCCCGACCUGCCUUUGCCAUUAAUAAUUAUCGGCGCUCAACCACCUGCCUCCUAUGUCUGCAUUUGGGUCUCACCUUGUGCCCUUAUACUGUGGACAUUCUGAAAGUAGUUUGAGGUCAGUGGGUCACAUGACCAAGAAACUAUUGAAAUUAGAAACAUUGAAAAACAUUGAAAGCUUGUAAAAACGUGUGAGAUGAAAAUGGACAAACAAAAGGGUGUGCAAUGUGUAGGCCCACUGAGUGUACAUUCUGAACUGUUUGAAGUCAGUAGGUCACAUGACCAAGGAGUUAUUGAAAUGUUGAAUUUAGAAAAAAUGUAAAAUGUGAGUUAUGAAAAUGGACAAACAAAAGGGUGUGCAAUGUGUAGGCCCACUGAGGGUAUAUUCUGAAUCUUGUUUGAAGUUAGGUCACAUGACCAAGGAGCUAUUGAAAUUCAAAUGUAAAAAGAAGUUUGUACUUUGUUUACACUCUAACUAAUUCAAUUAGGAAUACAAAAUGCUGUUCACAUUUCCACAUUUUUAUUAGCUUUGGAAAGUGAAUUAAUGUCCAAAUCGUGUGCAAUUUUUCUAACAUCAUGACACUUAUUUGGAGUCUGUGGCUCAAGUGGUUUGAAAGCGCGAAUAUCCAACUUGAAACUGUCUUUACAUUGGUUCUCGUUUGACAUAGAGGAUGUGUGGUUUAAGAAUAACGUUCGAGGAGUUGGUAGACGCACGUCGCUUUAAUCGAACGAUAGGCUUUUUUUCUGUCUUAUCAGUUUUGCUGUCAUUUGACGAAGUGGUUCUCCCGACUUCAGUUUUACAUUAUGUAUGAGGGAUAUGCGGUGACACCAUAUGCGCAGAAGCCGCUGCAUUGUUACAAU
ensembl:lncRNA